AACGAACGCUGGCGGCAUGCCUAACACAUGCAAGUCGAACGAGACCUUCGGGUCUAGUGGCGCACGGGUGCGUAACGCGUGGGAACCUGCACUUAGGUUCGGAAUAACUCACCGAAAGGGGUGCUAAUACAGGAUAAUGUCUUCGGACCAAAGAUCUAUCGCCUUUGGAUGGGCCCGCGUUGGAUUAGCUAGUUGGUAGGGUAAAAGCCUACCAAGGCGACGAUCCAUAGCUGGUCUGAGAGGAUGAUCAGCUACACUGGGACUGAGACACGGCCCAGACUCCUACGGGAGGCAGCAGUGGGGAAUAUUAGACAAUGGACGAAAGCCUGAUACAGCAAUGCCGCGUGAGUGAUGAAGGCCUUAGGGUUGUAAAGCUCUUUUACCCGGGAUGAGAAUGACAGUACCGGGAGAAUAAGCUCCGGCUAACUCCGUG
rnacentral:rRNA from 1 species